CAAUGCUGGACUUCCCCUCCCCUCUUCAACCAGGCAGUUGCCCUGGGCCACCUGGUGGCCUGAAAUAACUUGACCGGGAACUAAAAGGACUCACGAAGCAUUUAACCAAGACUCUACAUGUUGACUUUUCAGCCAAGGACACUUCAGAGCGACUGGCUGCAGUUCUCCAAAGGAAGCUGCUGCCAGUUGCCCCUGGGGGGUUAUUUCCUUCUUGGACAUCAUGACCACAAUGGCAGAAAUGCAUUGAUGGCCAGCACUCUGGGGAUGAAUGUUUUUGAGUGGAAAUGAAACAUACCAAAC
rnacentral:lncRNA from 1 species